GCUGGGGGCGGUGGUGCACGCCUGUAAUCCCAGCGGCUCAGGAGGCUGAGGCAGGAGGAUUAUCAGUUCAAAGCCAGCCUCAGCAAAAGCAAGGUGCUAAGCAACUCAAUGAGACCCUAUCUCUA
rnacentral:sRNA from 1 species